UGAGUAAGAAACAGAUUCUAUAGAUAUUGUUUCUCCCCUUUUCACUUUUAUUUUUAUUUUUUUGUUUAGCAAUUCCGUCCAACUAAGCAUCCAAAUGCAUAGGUAAACAGGGGUUUUUCUUGCCCCACACACACUAUCUCGCUUCUUUUGAGAUUUGCAAUUAAAAUUUUAUGUAUUCUUUUAUGGCUUUGACAUACCAGUGGCUCUAUAUGAGUAACUUUUAGGGAGUUCUCUGUUUUCUCACCUCCUCUCUUUUUAAGGGAGUUCUCUUCUACUAGCACACAUCUAAUUCUUUAGUUUUAGAUAGUCUUUUCCUUAAUUUUUUUCACGAUAUGCCAUUUGAAUUCAUUAGAGGCAUUUAUAAAUUUGAAAAUUUCCUCAUCUCUAGACUUUCUGCUAUCUUCAUCUUAGCUUUCAUUAGUUAUUAGGAGGAAGAUGUUAUGUUUUUUUUAAAAAAAAUCUGAAUCUCAGUUCCAAGAUAUAUUUUUGUUUUCUUCCUGCAAUGCAGAAACCUGGCAUUCAAUUGGCUGAGUCAGAAUAUUCAGUUCUCCUUAGCUUCCUUGAAAUCUCUCCGUUAUUUGUAAGUUCUUGUAAUCUGUGAGGGUGUUAAAGUCUCUGGUUUAUGAGUAGGCAGUUUAUUUUGCUAACCGAUCUUUUUUCCCAGUGCAGGAAUCUGAGUCACAAUUCAUAUAGAGAUGCAUAGCUAGAGAACUUCCUUGAUUGGUUGCUUUGUAUAAAACAAUGCUUUUAUGGAUCCUUUCAUGAUAUUCCAGCUAUUGUGACAGAUUUCAAUAUUGUUAGUUAUCUAGGAGGUUUCAAUUUUAGUAACACUGUGAUCUUAUUGCCCUUCAUAGUUAACCAUGGUGUCUUCACUAGCUGAACACAAAAAGUUCCUUAUGCAUUUAUCAAUUUUCUCUUUGAUUGUCAAUGUCAACAUUUUCUUGACAUGGAUUACCUCUGGUUAAUAUCUUUUUUUUUUCUUUCAUUCUUUCUUCAGGAGUGUUUUAGUUUUACAGAAAGAAGAGCAAGGUUAAGAAGUUAUAAAACCAAUCCAAUGGGCAAAGUCUAGACGUAUACUACUGCAAAACCAAUUUCUUCUUAUUGGAACUUUAUCAAUCACCCUCGGUAUGGCCAUUCUAUGUCAAACCUUAUCAUUCAGAACAUCCUGAUUGACAGUCCAGAGUAUCCUUUAUUUAGAGCACGUGGACGGUCCAUGCUUAGUUGUGACAUGCAAUCGUUUAGAGAAUAUGCAGAUGGGAUUGCUACAUCAGGGUUCUUACUUGAAAAUAAUUUAGCUAACCCAGAAAAUAAGCUGAUCUGCUCAUUCCAUGGGUUCCAUGCGCCCCAAAAAGGGGUGCGCUCCAGCGGUACCAGUACCACGGUAAGCUUAUGGUGACACCAGGCAGAUGUGGGUCCAUGUGAUGUAUUCACUCCAUCCAACUCAUCUAUCAGAUGCGUCACCUCAGAAAAAGCCUAGGACCAAAACUCAGCUUGAUUUGAAACUAAGGUGUUGGACCCGAAAUGUAGGCAAGUGGAGCAGCCAUUCUGAGUUGCACAACACCCUGUCUAACCUCUCCCACAUACGGGAUCUCCCCAGGUGGUUUUUGCUCCAUGUAAAACUUGCUGCCAUGAAACCAGCAUCCAACAGCCUCGCUUGGCUGAUGGCUUCAGCAAACUCUAACGAACUGCCCCACUUGAUGUGGACCGUCCAUUGUGAGGGGCCACACUUUGAUGUGAGUCAUCCAUCAUGUGAAGCCCACUCCGUCUAUCAUGUGGGCCCACCUUGAUGUGGACCAUUUAUUGUGUGGGGCCCCACCUUCAAUAUGGAUCAUUCAUCAUGUGAGCCCACCUUUGAUGUCAACUGACCAUCAUGUGGGCUCACCUUCAAUGACCAUCGUCCAUCAUAUGGGUCCCACCUUUGAUGUGGACUAACCAUCAAUUGGGAUCCACUUGAUGUGCAUGUUUCAUCUUGUUGGGCCACACUUUAAUGCGGGCCAUCCAUCAUGCGGGGCCUACCUUUGAUGUCAAUCGUUCAAUAUGUGGGCCCACCUUGAUGUGGACCAUACAUCUUGUGGGACCCCAUGUUCAAUAUGAGUCGUUCAUCAUGAGGGACCCACCUUUGAUGUCCACCGUCCAUUAUGUAGGUCCCACCUUUACUGUGGACCUUCCAUCAUGUAGGUCCCAACCUUCAGUAUGAGCCAUUCAUCAUGUGGGCCCACACUUAAUGUCAACCUUCUAUCAUGUGCUCUCACAUUCAAUAUGCCCACCAUCCAUC